CCUUCUAUUAUCUCCCCUUUAUUUCACGCACUCAUUUCCUCUUUCGCAAUUUCGAGAAACUCUAGCUCCCUUAUUCCCUUUAUUCCCUCCUCGAUAGGUUACUCUCUUCGUCUGGUCUAAAUCUUCUGUCUCUGAGUCCUGUGCGUUCUUGUUCUUUAAAUUACAGGUCUCUGUGGGUCGUUUGCAAUUUGCCUGUCUCUGAGUAUCUCAAUGUGAAGGGCUGUCGUGGUGAUAGGUUAGGGUUUCCAGAUAUGAGAUUCGAUUUCUGGGAGUGGAUUGUGAGAGAAAAGAACGGAUGUCUAGUUCUCUGAGUGUGGUGGUCUCUCUCGUUGUUUCUAAGAAACCUUAUGUUCUCAACUCCGUGUUCGACAAUCUGCUGAUGUCGCAAAAGUCACAAAUUGGAAAAGGCGAUUUGAACAAAACCAAUCCGAGCUUGCUGGGAAUAAAAAAGGAAUGGUGGUCUUCAAAGGCUACGGAAAAACUAGAAAGUGAAAAGGUAUCAAAGACCCUAAUAAACCAAAGAGGUAAUUUAGUGCUUUCUUCUUUUUAGGGUAGGUAUGCAAGGCUUUUCGAUUCAUUUAAUUUAAGUGUUUUUGGAUUUGUUAUUUUUGAGUUUCAUAUUACAUUUUCGAUCUCAGAAGGAAGAGUCUUUGUUAUUUUUGUUCAGAUUUUCAGUUGGCGAUCAAGGAUAGUUUACUUUCCGAUUUUCACAACUGCAGGUGUGGGCGAAAAAAUAAUUGAAAUGGAAAAGCCUAAAUUGGAACCGUCCAAAUUGGCAUUAGGGAAGGAGAAACUGUUGACAGCACAAAAGGCACUAGAAGAAGGUACUCUUUAUCAUGUAUUUUUGGACCUUACAUUAUGUGCAGAAAAAAAAAAAAAGAUAAUGGUGUCACAUGAUAGUUUUAUAUUACCAUAGUUAAGUUGAGUGCUAACUUUUAACUGUCAACAGUUCGAGCCCAUAAGAAGACAAAUAUGGUGUACUAGACUUCACUGAAAAGAAAAUUUCUAAGGUUACAAUGAUACCCACUAGCCAUGGAGAAGUAUGUCUUUUCUUUUUAAUCUGUCUGAGAAUCUUCCAUCACAGGGAUAACUGUUCUAUUUAUGUAUGAGUAACCCAGUGAUGCCAUUGUUGCUGUAGUGCAGACAUUCAAUAUACUAAGGUAUGAGGUUCUUCAGAAAUAUGAUACUCAUUAUGAUGUCUUCGACCCGUUUGAAUAUGGAAAUAUUCAAAAUGAAAGGGAAAGCAUGCUUAAAUACUACGGCACCUCAAGCAUCGACGAUUGUGAUGAACUCAUACUAGACUCAUAUUUAGCAUCUGAAGCCAAUGAAAAUGAGUACAUUACUUCAUCCCGAAAAAUGCAACCAUACCUUUAUAUGCAUGUAUAUCUUGGUUUCAUUCCUGAGUGGCCGGCAUAUUCUUUUUCUUUUCAGACCUAUUGUAGUUGGACCAGAAAAAGUAGCCUUAGUUGCUUCCCUCAGGUCAAGAAUUCCUAUUCAGUAGCUCACUGUUGACCAAAGCACUCACUACAAAAAAAAGGCCUAUGGUCACGGUACCAUGACCAUAACUAGUGAAAAGGGUGACCAUAGGUCUAUGGUCACGAUUUUUGACCUAUGGUCACGGUUUUUUCACCGUGGCCUAUUAUGUCGUGGCCAUAGAUCUAUGGUCACGGUUUUUUUUAUCUAUAAUCACGGUUUCUAUGGUCACGGUUUUAGUGUUCAAAUUCUGGUACUUUAGGCCACAUUUUUUUUACCGUGACCAUAUGUUAAUCUAUGGUCACGUGUAAAAACUGUGACCAUAGCCUAAUCUAUGGUCACGAGUUUUCACCAUGACUAUAGCAUCUAUGGUCACCCCGCUUAAAAUCGUGACCAUAACCUUAACCGUGACCAUAACCUCUAUGGCCACUCCUCCCCAAAACCGUGACCAUAGCCAUAUCUAUGGUCACGGUCAAAACCGUGACCAGAACCUCUAUGGUCACUCCUCCCGAAAACCGUGACUAUAGCCUUAUCUAUGGUCACAGUUUUGGCUGUGACCAUAGCCUCUAUGGUCACCCCACCUAAAAUCGUGACCAUAGCUUCUAUAGUCACCCCUCAUUAUACCGUGACCAUAGCCUUAUCUAUGUUCACGGUUUUCACCGUGGCUAUAGCUUAUCUAUGGUCACCCCUCCUUAAAACUGUGACCAUAGCCUUGUCUAUGGACACGAUUUUUCGCCUUGAUCAUAGGUUUAUUUAUAGUCACGGUUUUCACCGUGGCCAUAGCUUAUCUAUGGUCACAGUUUUUACCGUGACCAUAGCCUGUUUUAUUUUAUGAGAUUUUUUUUAAAGCAUAAUCACAUCCCAAAAUGAUGAUAAUCACAAAAUAAAUCUAAGAAUGAGAGAUUCAAUAAAUGUAAAACAAAAAAGUUUCAUUAAAAACUAGAUAUCCAUUACAACACUAAUCAAAAUAGGGUGUAAUUUAUCCAUUACAUGUAAUAUCAGAUAAAGUCUCUUAUCAAAAAGUAAAGAACACAUCAAAAUAAUAAAUUUAGAUAACCAAAAUCAUUAUAAGACCCAUCCCAUCUUAUAUUUGUAUAGAACAUAUUUUCUUCACAUCAUGUCCUCCUGCUAGCAAAAGAAAUAAACAUGUUAGAACAAAACAAAAAUGUUUUUGAUGAUGCAUGCAGUACAGUUGAGUAAUGAAUAUGGAACACAAGUUUAAUAAGUCAACCAACGUGAAAAUUUCAACCACUAAAUAACAGGAGCAUUUGCUAGGGUUUUGAGCCACAUAAAAAGGACAUACUAAGUAUAAUAAGAACUAGCAACCUUCUGCUAACAAGCUAGAUUCUAUUGUAGAUUCGCUUAAGGCCAAUAAAUCAACAAUAAAUUUAACAUCAACAGCAAUCAGCCACUAUUAAUUUAACUACUAAUUUUAAAAGUACUUACUUCCAUAUCUUUUGACACAUGGUUCGAUCCCAAUGAAGGAGGAAUGCUUCGCCGCGCAUCAUUUGGUGCACUACUUGCGUCAGGCAGAGAUUGUUGGGCAGCUUCUAUCAUUACUUGCACUUGUUCUGCACUCAUACCAGGAUUAACUUGUUGCAACAACGUUUUGAUCAAAUUUGUUAAACCAUCCAACUUGAAAGUUAAGUUAUUUUGAUUUUUCUCCAUAGUUGAAACCACUUCAGUAUGUUGUUGUUGCAUUUGUUGGAUUUGGUUAUCCUUUUUAAGAGAGAAUUUUGUGACUAAUCGACCAUAGAAACGAACCCUACCAUAUCUCUCCUUUCCAAAAACCGUUUGAAGUGUUUCAUCAUCACUGUAUCCAGCUUACUUCAAAUUUUGAAGAUGAUCCUAUUACACACAAGUAAAAUUGAAAUAAGUUCAUGUGCGCAUAUGCUGAAAAAAAAAAGAUUUACAUAUUUUUUUUA